rnacentral:lncRNA from 1 species
UGUGGAGGAGACCUUGGGGAGUGUGAACGGAUUGAGGACCAGGCGAUCUCUCUCCCAUUUGCUUUUCUGGGUGAUCUCGUGGAGCCUUGUGACUUCACCUGUAGCCUCUGGUCCCCAAGGCCCAGGCCUGAGCUCUCAGCCUUAUGCUCUGCAGGGAUGGGCGGGGCGCUGCACACAGAGGCUCUGGAUGGAGUUCGGGACUCCUGUGGCCUCAGGGAGUGCUUACCAGACGGGGCUGUGAUAUUCCUGCAAGAUUAAGUCUUUUUUUUUUUUUGUUAUUACCAACAUGCAUUUAUUGACAUUUAUUUUUAAUAGAGCAUAGUCGAUUUAUAGUGUUUCUUCAAUUUCUCCUAUAUAGCCAAGGGAUCCAGUCGAACACAGUUCCCUGGCUGUAUAAUAGGACCCUGUUGCCCAUCCAUUCCAAAUGUCGCAGUUGGCCUCCACCAGCCCCAAACUCCUGUCCAUCCCUCUCCCCCCUCCUUCCCCCCCUGGCAACCACAAGUCUGCUCUCUGUGGCCCUGAUUUGUCUCUGUUUUGUAGACAGGUUCAUCUGUGCCCCAUUUUAGAUUCCGCAGAGAAGUGAUAUCAUAUGGUAUUUGCCUUUCUCUUUCUGGCUUAUUUCACUUAGUAAGAAUCUCCAGUUGUAUCCAUGUUACUGCAAUAGCAUUAUUCUGUUUUUACGGCUGAGUAGUAUUCCAUUGUACAUGGGUACCUGGAAACAACCUAAAUGUCCAUUGACAGACAGAUGGAUUAAGAAGAUCAAAUCUUUUUUUUCUUUUUUUUUGCGUCUUUUUAGGGCUGCACCCACGGCAUAUGGAGGUUCCCAGCCUAGGCUCCAAUUGGAGCUGUAGCUGCCAGCCUACACCACAGCCACGGCAAUGCCAGAUCCGAGCUGUGUCUGUGACUUACACCACAGCUCAUGGCAAGAAGAUCAAAUCUUUAAUCCCAAGAAACCCCUCCUCGUUCUUCAGCCUCAGCUGGGCUUGGGCAGCCCAGCUGAGUUUCCCCCUGCCAGCACAGCCCUCCCCCGCCACCCUAGCCUCACGCUACUCUGCUCGGGGCCACCCUGCUUCUGUACCUGGCCAGGACUGGUGCUUUCUUCAAUCAGAGCCACUGAAAAUGGGAAUGAGUCUGUGGAGAGGGGGCUUCCUGUGA